CCUACGGGGGGCUGCAGUGGGGAAUAUUGCGCAAUGGGCGAAAGCCUGACGCAGCGACGCCGCGUGAGUGAUGAAGGUCUUCGGAUCGUAAACCUCUGUCAGCAGGGAAGAACGGUCACUGUGCUAAUCAGCAGUGAAUUGACGGUACCUGCAAAGGAAGCACCGGCCAACUCCGUGCCAGCAGCCGCGGUAAUACGGAGGGUGCGAGCGUUAAUUGGAAUUAAUGGGCGUAAAGCGCUCGUAGGCGGUAUGUCAAGUCAAGGGUGAAAUCCCCGCGCUCAACAUUGGAACUGCCUUUGAAACUGGCAAACUGGCGUGUAUGAGAGGAUAGUGGAAUUCCGGGUGUAGGAGUGAAAUCCGUAGAUAUCUGGAGGAACAUCAGUGGCGAAGGCGACUAUCUGGCACAUAACUGACGCUGAGGAGCGAAAGCGUGGGUAGCAAACAGGAUUAGAUACCCGUGUAGUC
rnacentral:rRNA from 1 species